CCGAUUACUAGUAAAUUGGUGUGUUAAAUUUUUCUUCCAAAUACAUAUAUAAAUUAUUAAGAUUUUGCCUUUUGCUUUUAUACCGAAAAAGCAGAAGGAAUUUUUGGCAAAGGUGGUGAGAGAGGGUAGGACUUUUCCUUUUGUGGAGAGCAAUCGAAAUCGAUUAUCGAUUGGAGAGUGGCCGAGGCAUUUGACUCCCACCCACAUGAACAUGAUGC
rnacentral:lncRNA from 1 species